UACGAAGGGGCUAGCGUUGCUCGGAUUGACUGGGCGUAAAGGGCGCGUAGGCGGUUUGCACAGUCAGACGUGAAAUUCCUGGGCUUAACCUGGGGGCUGCGUUUGAUACGUGCAGGCUUGAGUUCGGAAGAGGGUCGUGGGAAUUCCCAGUGUAGAGGUGAAAUUCGUAGAUAUUGGGGAAGAACACCGGUGGCGAAGGCGCGACCUGGUCCGAUACUGACGCUGAGGCGCGAAAGCGUGGGGAGCGAACAGG
rnacentral:rRNA from 1 species